rnacentral:rRNA from 1 species
UACGUAGGUGGCAAGCGUUGUCCGGAAUUAUUGGGCGUAAAGCGCGCGCAGGUGGUUCCUUAAGUCUGAUGUGAAAGCCCCCCGGCUCAACCGGGGAGGGUCAUUGGAAACUGGGGAACUUGAGUGCAGAAGAGGAUAGUGGAAUUCCAAGUGUAGCGGUGAAAUGCGUAGAGAUUUGGAGGAACACCAGUGGCGAAGGCGACUAUCUGGUCUGUAACUGACACUGAGGCGCGAAAGCGUGGGGAGCAAACAGG